AUUGAACGCUGGCGGCAUGCCUUACACAUGCAAGUCGAACGGUAACAGGUCUUCGGAUGCUGACGAGUGGCGAACGGGUGAGUAAUACAUCGGAACGUGCCUAGUAGUGGGGGAUAACUACUCGAAAGAGUGGCUAAUACCGCAUGAGAUCUACGGAUGAAAGCAGGGGAUCGCAAGACCUUGUGCUACUAGAGCGGCCGAUGGAAGAUUAGGUAGUUGGUGGGAUAAAAGCUUACCAAGCCGACGAUCUGUAGCUGGUCCGAGAGGACGAUCAGCCACACUGGGACUGAGACACGGCCCAGACUCCUACGGGAGGCAGCAGUGGGGAAUUUUGGACAAUGGGCGCAAGCCUGAUCCAGCAAUGCCGCGUGCAGGAUGAAGGCCUUCGGGUUGUAAACUGCUUUUGUACGGAACGAAAAGCCCUGGGUUAAUACCCUGGGGUCAUGACGGUACCGUAAGAAUAAGCACCGGCUAACUACGUGCCAGCCGCCGCUGUAA
rnacentral:rRNA from 1 species